CCAAAUUCAAACGGUAGUAGCCAGCCCUCCGCCAGAGAAAGGCAACGACAUUGCCAAUUCUUUGCGAGGAUUCUGGGAGCAGUAACCUUGGAGCUCUGUGUAGGCGGCCAGGCUUCCGCUACAGGAGGGCGUGGCUGUGACGAUUAUCUCAUUGGGGAUUCUGGGGUUAUAAUACAGGAAUUGUGGGUAAGUACAGUCACUUCUGCUCCAUGAAAGUGAGGUCAUCAUUCGUUUCAGGAAGUUGAGUGAGGCCUGAGACAGCAAUGUUUCGUUUAGCCUGGCGGUGGCCCUCCUUGUCUUCAAGAAGAGCAUCCGUGGCUAGCAGUGGAAGAUGGGGUUGGGCCCCAGGACUGACCAGGCAGUUCUGCCACCUUCUAGGAGUGUGAAAUUGGGAAGUAAUUCAAAAUGUAUGUGCCUAGCAUUCCUUUUAUGUAACAUGAGGGGAAUAGAAGUACCAAACCGAUGCAGUUCAGUGGAGAAUUAAAUGAGAUAGUCACAAGUAAAAGGUGAGACGCGAUCUUACUGCAUUGACCAGGAUGGUCUCAAACUCCUGGCUACAGGCUAUCCUCCUGCCUCUGUCUCCCAAAGCGCUGGGAUUACAAGCGUGAGCCACCAGGCCUGGCCCAAUUGCUUCUUAACAACUUACUAUUCUUUGUUCACUACAGUGUAUACAUAACUGACUUUUUAUUUGGAUCUUCAUUUUGUAAUGAAGGCUCUGGUCACAUGUAAGACUUGUAUUAAAUAAAUUUGCCUGCUGUUCUGUUAAUCUGUGUUAUGCUAAUUUAAUUCUUGAGCCCAGCUGGGUCCUGGAGAGGAUAGAGUGAAAUUUUGUGGCAGCUACGUAAGUCAAUGAAAUUGGAAACAGAAAAACAAUCUUUAAAAAUCAAUAAAAUCAUAAACUUAUUCUUUGAGAAGAUCAAUAUAGUUUAUAAACCUUUCAACUGACUCACCCACAGGGAAAAAGAAGAAAACAAAAAUCAGGAGGGAGGGAAUGUUAUUACAAAUUUUGCGGAUAUUAAAAGGAUUAUAAGGGAACAUUACAAACAACUCCUUGUCCAUAAAUUGAUCAAUUUACAUGACAUGGAAUAUUACUUGAAAGGCACAAACUACCAAAGCUCACUCAGGAAGAAUGGAUAACCUAGAUACUUGCGUGUAUGUAUGUGUGUGCAUACAUACAAUUUUUACACACACACACACACACACACAUAUAUAUAUAUAUAUGCACAGUUAAUUUUUUCUAUCUUUUGUAGAGAUGGGUUUUUACCAUGUUGCCUGGGCUGGUCUUGAACUCCUGGGCUCAAGCGCUCUGCCCACCUUGGCCUCCCAAAGUGCUGGGAUUACAGGCUUGAAACACUGCACCUGCCUGGCCUGAUAUAUAUUUCAAAACUGAUUUAAUAGAUAAAGCCUUCCAACAACAACAAUAAAAAAAACAAUAUUGAGAUGAAUUCAUUGGUGGAUUCUACUAAACAUUUAAAGAGUAAAGAUGUGAAUUUUAAAUAAACCCAGAAACAAAAAGAGAAGGGAACACCCA
rnacentral:lncRNA from 10 species